rnacentral:rRNA from 1 species
AGGACGAACGCUGGCGGCGUGCUUAACACAUGCAAGUCGAGCGAGGCUCCUCCUUCGGGAGGAUGCCCUAGCGGCGAACGGGUGAGUAACACGUGGGCAACCUGCCCCUAGCACUGGGAUAACCCCGGGAAACCGGGGCUAAUACCGGAUACGACUUCGGAAGGCAUCUUCUGAAGUGGAAAAGGUUACUGGCUAGGGAUGGGCCCGCGGCCUAUCAGCUUGUUGGUGGGGUAAUGGCCCACCAAGGCGACGACGGGUAGCCGGCCUGAGAGGGCGACCGGCCACACUGGGACUGAGACACGGCCCAGACUCCUACGGGAGGCAGCAGUGGGAAUAUUGCACAGUGGGCGAAAGCCUGAUGCAGCGACGCCGCGUGAGGGAUGACGGCCUUCGGUUGUAAACCUCUUUCAGCAGGGACGAAGCGAAAGUGACGGUACCUGCAGAAGAAGCACCGGCCAACUACGUGCCAGCAGCCGC